AUUAAGUACAGCCAUAAGUUUCCGUGCCCAACUUUAAUCGUCCGUCUUAUUUAAAAUUUUUUUAUAAUUAGCAUUUUUGUUGUUAUAAGAUAAUAAAACCUGAAUAGUAUUUUACUCGUGACUAAUUUUUUUAAUUUUUUUUUAAAAUUUUUUAAAUAAGACGAAUGAUCAAAGUUGAGCGCGAAAAACCAUGGUUGCAGUUAUU
rnacentral:pre_miRNA from 1 species